rnacentral:rRNA from 1 species
UACGUAGGGGGCAAGCGUUAUCCGGAUUUACUGGGUGUAAAGGGAGCGUGGACGGUUAAUCAAGUCAGAAGUGAAAACCCAGGGCUCAACCUUGGGACUGCUUUUGAAACUGAGUAGCUAGAGUGCAGGAGAGGUAAGCGGAAUUCCUAGUGUAGCGGUGAAAUGUGUAGAUAUUAGGAGGAACACCAGUGGCGAAGGCGGCUUACUGGACUGUAACUGACGUUGAGGCUCGAAAGCGUGGGGAGCAAACAGG